CCAACACGUUGCCUGCCUCAUCUCAUCUACAACGCAUGCAUACGUCAAGCGCCGUCGACCCAAGGGUCAACACUUUGUGCUGCUCGUUUGUAUGAGCCGUGUGCCUUGGGCACCCUGGCCAUAUGCUUGCCCACGGCCGCCGCCGCCGCCGAGAUCCAAGGUGUCUCUCCAUCUAUCUAUCCAUGUAAGACCAUGCACUGCUUUCUCCAUCUAACCUGCUUCUUUAAGGCAAUCAAUCUUGUCACUCGGCUGAUGCGUAUUUCUUCUUCUUCUUGACCUAGCGAUUCAUCUAUUUGACAUGGAGGUGCGGACAAGAUCCCACCCCGGCACUAGGCGUGAUGCCAGACCAAAGUAUAUAAGCAAAGGUUAGUGGAAAAACAAACUGUAUAUGCAUCGACAUAUAUCUCUUGGCUGGAUGCUUCCUUUCAUUCUUUUUUGUCAUCCUUCUUCUCUUAUGGUGAAUUGAUUAAUUUGUUGCUCCGCUCUAUCUAUGGUUUCAAGAUUGGAGUAUAUAUAUCGAGCUACACGGCCCAUCCAUGCCGGCGGGCGAAUCUCAAGGUAACAUUCCCUUCAAGAGUAGAGUAACCUGUUGCUAUUUCUACCUUGCAACAUUAUAGCAGCACACAUAUGUCUGUCUCUGAAUCCUACCUUGUUGCUAAUUAAGUGCAAGAACAGUUUCCGGAGAUGUAACCUGUUGGUCGAUGCUUUAUGUGCAUGCAUUAUUCCUGUUCCUUGUUUGCGCACACUUGCAUGCUAGAGAACCCUAGCAGCCGACCACACACGUACCGCUCCUUGCAGUUUUCAUUCUAUUCCAGUUUUCACUAACUUAUUAUGGUACACUGUUGGAGCAGAUAAUAGGAAAUCUACUUGCUAGUGAAUCAUGACCAAACUCUAAUUUGAGAACACGCUAGUAAAAAUGAAUCUGAGUCUGGGAGCGGAGGAGUUCAGAGUCUCACUCCUAAUUAGCUAAAAAUGAAUCUGUGUUUGUUUGAUUAAUGUUUUGGGGGUCAAGAGUUGUCGUGUCCUCAUCGUAAUUAGCCAUAUUGAUACCAUGCCUUGGUCAUGUCAUGGCACUGAGCGCUACAAAAGAUUUCCUCUAAAUUGGCAUCAACUAUGUUAUGGGAUGUAGAUUGUUUUUUUGGUUAACUCUAUAGGGUCAUUUUACACAUAUGAAAGAAUAAGUAGGUUUGUGUAAUCAUAUUAUUUUCUUUGUGCUUCAUUAGGGUCAAGACAAUGUUGGAAGGUAACUACAUGUAGCAGGCAUGAUGUAGAUUUUUGGGAUGAGAAAAAUAGAGAGAAGAGAGUGGUCUAAUCAUUUUUUGAUGCCGAUCUCUACUUUGGAGAGAUGCGAUGGCCUCUUAAAUUGGACUUUUAGGGUUGCGCACGCACUUCAUUUCGACGCGUUAUGCUGCCGAAAUUUCUGGCCGAAAACCCCACGACUUGUUUGUAAGGAAUCAAAAGCUUUAGCGUGUUGGAUGAAAAUUUUCAAGGUCUUGGCAGCAAGAUUGUGUUAUUUGUGGGGAUGAAAAUAGAAAAAGGAUGUUAUUUUUUUCCUGGUUUUCCGUAGCGAGGUGGAUCGACGUACCGGCCAGCACUAGACAUCUCCAUAGACGUACCGGCCGGCAGCGCGCGGUUGUUUCAUUUUCUCCGUAGACGUACGUAUGCGCACGUAGUACGUUGUCGAUCAGCGGCGCGAUUGCAAGAGUAUCAUAGCCUAUGCGCCAGCAAUACUAAGCACAAGAUAUGCAGGGUAGAGGAGACGAAGAUAUGCAGGGUAAUUCAGAUGGUUGGAAUUUCUUAAGACCCCAAUUAUGUUUGGAAUUUAGAAAGAAAAAACAGGCAACGAUGAAAAUGUAUUUUGUGUUUUUGCAGAUCCCGUCCUUCACUAUCUUCUCCUCUAUUAAUAUAUAAUACCUGUGAAAAAAAUAACAAACAGGCACAUAGGCAAAUAAAAGGUUGUUACAGUUAUCCAUGUUUUCAGUCAUACAGCACAAACGCCAGCAAGCAUUACAAAAACCACAAUAGUUGUAAUUCCUUUGAACCAAAGAGGAUUUUAUAGAAAAACAAUCUCAAGAAGUAGGGUUGUUAGAAUUCUUAUUCCCAUGUGAUUCAUUUGGAUGAAAGAUGCCACUAUGGAUGACUGGUCCAAACCAUCCUAAACCCGAUUACCUGGAGCAGGUCCUACAACUGUUGGAAGUAAACACGACAGUGUGUGUCUGUGUCCUUCACGUACAUGUGCGUGUACAUGUAUCCGAGUAGGUUUCCAAGUCAAUCACCGUGUAGGAGUAGUACUAGUUGGCUUAGCUAGUAUAUAUACUCACGUAUCCCCUUGUAACCAAAACCAUCGAAAAGUAAU
rnacentral:lncRNA from 1 species